rnacentral:lncRNA from 1 species
UAGUAGACAGUAUGGAGGAGUGGAGGUGUUGAUUCUAGAAGACAGAAUGGAGGAGUGGAGGUGUUGAUUCUAGAAAACAGUAUGGAGGAGUGGAGGUGUUGAUUCCAGUAGACAGUAUGGAGGAGUGGAGGUGUUGAUUCUAGAAGAGAGUAUGGAGGAGUGAAAGAGUGGAGGUGUUGAUUAUAGUAGACAGUAUAGAGGAGUGGAGGUGUUGAUUCUAGUAGACAGUAUAGAGGAGUGGAGGUGUUGAUUCUAGAAGACAGUUUGGAGGAGUGGAGAUGUAGAUUAUAGUAGACAGUAUGGAGGAGUGGAGGUGUUGAUUCUAGAAGACAGUAUGGAGGAGUGGAGGUGUUGAUUCUAGAAGACAGUUAGGAGGAGUGGAGGUGUUGAUUCUAGUAGACAGUAUGGAGGAGUGGAGGUGUUGAUUCUAGUAGACAGUAUGGAGGAAUGAAAGAGUGGAGGUGUUGAUUCUAAUAGACAGUACGGAGGAGUGGAGGUGUUGAUUCUAAUAGACAGUAUAGAGGAGUGGAGGUGUUGAUUCUAGAAGACAGUGUGGAGGAGUGAAAGAGUGGAGGUGUUGAUUUUAGUAGACAGUAUGGAGGAGUGGAGGUGUUGAUUCUCAUAGACAGUAUAGAGGAGUGGGCGUGUUGAUUCUUGAAGACAGUAUGGAGGAGUGGAGGAGUUGAUUCUAGAAGACAGUAUGGAGGAGUGGAGGGGUUGGUUCUAGUCGACAGUAUGGAGGAGUGAAAGAGUGGAGGUGUUGAUUCUAAUAGACAGUCUAGAGGAGUGGAGGUGUUGAUUCUAGUAGACAGUAUUGAGGAGUGGAGGUGUUGAUUCUAGCAGACAGUAUAGAGGAGUGAAAGAGUGGAGGUGUUGAUUCCAAUAGACAGUAUAGAGGAGUGGAGGUGUUGAUUCUAGUAGACAGUAUAGAGGAGUGGAGGUGUUGAUUCUAGAAGACAGUUUGGAGGAUUGGAGGUGUAGAUUCUAGAAGACAGUAUGGAGGAGUGGAGGUGUUGAUUCUAGAAGACAGUAUGGAGGAGUGCAGGUGUUGAUUCUAGAAGACAGUUAGGAGGAGUGGAGGUGUUGAUUCUAGAAGACAGUAUGGAGGAGUGGAUGUGUUGAUUCUAGUAGACAGUAUGGAGGAGU